rnacentral:rRNA from 1 species
CCAAAGCUGGCGACCGGCGCACGGGUGAGUAACACGUAUCCAACCUGCCUCAUACUCGGGGAUAGCCUUUCGAAAGAAAGAUUAAUAUCCGAUAGUAUAUUUUCUCCGCAUGGCGAGAAUAUUAAAGAAUUUCGGUUAUCGAUGGGGAUGCGUUCCAUUAGUUUGUUGGCGGGGUAACGGCCCACCAAGACUACGAUGGAUAGGGGUUCUGAGAGGAAGGUCCCCCACAUUGGAACUGAGACACGGUCCAA